GAGGAGAAUGAGCACCAAUGGAAGCUGGGCAGAGGAAGAGAAGAGAGGAAGUGGGAGGAAGAAUUUUCUUUGUUCUUUCUUCUCUUUCCCAGAGGGUGAGAGGAGGCAAGAGGGGCCAUGACUGAGGGGGUGAUGGCACCCCUGUGGCCCCUUCCAGCAUACGGCAAUUAAGUGUCUGGAGGGGAGUGCCUUUUCCUAACCCGGCACAAAGAUACCAUAUGGACCAGCUGCAGCUCUGGGCACAGGCUUGAAAAUCUGGUGGCUUUGGUUUUCCCUGUGAGGCAGAUUCUAGGUUAAACAAUCAAGAGAAGCCACAUCCAGACCUGACAUAAAUCAUGAGAUCCUGCUGUUAUGACUGGAUGAGACUUUGGGAGUCUUGGGGAUAAGUGUAUUUUCUAUGUGAGAGGGACAUGAAUAAAUGUAGUCAAGAGAGUGGA